UACGGAGGGUGCGAGCGUUAAUCGGAAUUACUGGGCGUAAAGCGCGCGUAGGCGGUUUGUUAAGUCAGCUGUGAAAGCCCCGGGCUCAACCUGGGAACUGCAGUUGAUACUGGCCGACUAGAGUACGAGAGAGGGAGGUAGAAUUCCAUGUGUAGCGGUGAAAUGCGUAGAUAUAUGGAGGAAUACCAGUGGCGAAGGCGGCCUCCUGGCUCGAUACUGACGCUGAGGUGCGAAAGCGUGGGGAGCAAACAGG
rnacentral:rRNA from 1 species